CUCCUCCCCCUCUUUGCUACAGGGGGCUUCCACACUCACCAAUUCACGCAAGAGGGGCGGUGGCAGAGAAGACUCCUUGCUGCAGAGUUCUCCAAAGUUGCCAUGGCUACGGUGGUGGGAGCCCCGUGCUGGCUGCUGGAAGGAGUUGGGUCUCGGGCUUGGAGGGAGGGAGAGCCCCAACUCCUGCCUCCUCCUCUGCCGAGAACUGUCCCUGGGCCACUCCGAGGAGGGCUGCCGAAGGGGCGAAGGAGGAGGCUAAGAGCAGCAGCAGCAGCCACCAUGGGGCUCCCACCGCCGUAGCCAUGGCAACUUUGGAGAACUUUGCAGCAAGGAGUCUUCAUGUGAACUGGAAGAAGAGAAGGAGGAAAUCAUGUCAGGACCAUAAUUUCUGGGCCUGUACUCUGGCACCAGAAAUCAAGGACGCUUACACAAAGAACUGAUAAGGCACCUGCGGCUCCCGGCUCUGAAGCGGCUGGAGUGAGCUGACAUAGAGACUAUGCCAACUCUUUGGGGUUACAGUAUCACGAUUUCAAAAACGCCUGUGUCGUCCAAGCCAUUGAUGGGCGACCCUUAAAGACUGUCCAGUUAGCC
rnacentral:lncRNA from 11 species